GCCAGAGGAGUAAAGUCGAACGGUAACAGGAAGAAGCUUGCUUCUUUGCUUAUUACUGGCGGACGGGAGAGUAAUGUCUGGGAAACUGCCUGAUGGAGGGGGAUAACUACUGGAAACGGUAGCUAAUACCGCAUAAUGUCGCAAGACCAAAGAGGGGGACCUUCGGGCCUCUUGCCAUCGGAUGUGCCCAGAUGGGAUUAGCUAGUAGGUGGGGUAACGGCUCACCUAGGCGACGAUCCCUAGCUGGUCUGAGAGGAUGACCAGCCACACUGGAACUGAGACACGGCCCAGACUCCUACGGGAGGCAGCAGUGGGACUCCUACGGGAG
rnacentral:sRNA from 1 species